rnacentral:tRNA from 1 species
GCCUGGCUGGCUCAGCUGGUGGAGCGUGAGACUCUUGUUCUUCAGGUUGUGGGUUCAAGCCCUGCGCUGGGUG